rnacentral:misc_RNA from 1 species
CACCUUCUAUCAAGGUAUUGGGAGAUGCACUCGCACUCCUUAAAAACAGUGGUGAUAACUGUCUACUCACGCAUAGUAAUCUCUGCGACGGAUACACAGUGACCGCACCUUAAUUCUUU